rnacentral:piRNA from 1 species
UCUGGAGUGCACCUCUCAGGUGUUGUGCAGU